rnacentral:rRNA from 1 species
CGGGAGGCAGCAGUGGGGAAUAUUGGACAAUGGGGGCAACCCUGAUCCAGCCAUGCCGCGUGUGUGAAGAAGGCCUUUUGGUUGUAAAGCACUUUAAGCAGGGAGGAGAGGCUAAUGGUUAAUACCCAUUAGAUUAGACGUUACCUGCAGAAUAAGCACCGGCUAACUCUGUGCCAGCAGCCGCGGUAAUACAGAGGGUGCGAGCGUUAAUCGGAAUUACUGGGCGUAAAGCGAGUGUAGGUGGCUCAUUAAGUCACAUGUGAAAUCCCCGGGCUUAACCUGGGAACUGCAUGUGAUACUGGUGGUGCUAGAAUAUGUGAGAGGGAAGUAGAAUUCCAGGUGUAGCGGUGAAAUGCGUAGAGAUCUGGAGGAAUACCGAUGGCGAAGGCAGCUUCCUGGCAUAAUAUUGACACUGAGAUUCGAAAGCGUGGGUAGCAAACAGGAUUAGAUACCCUGGUAGUCCACGCCGUAAACGAUGUCUACUAGCCGUUGGGGUCCUUGAGACUUUAGUGGCGCAGUUAACGCGAUAAGUAGACCGCCUGGGGAGUACGGCCGCAAGGUUAAAACUCAAAUGAAUUGACGGGGGCCCGCACAAGCGGUGGAGCAUGUGGUUUAAUUCGAUGCAACGCGAAGAACCUUACCUGGUCUUGACAUCCACGGAACUUUCCAGAGAUGGAUUGGUGCCUUCGGGAACCGUGAGACAGGUGCUGCAUGGCUGUCGUCAGCUCGUGUCGUGAGAUGUUGGGUUAAGCCCCGCAACGAGCGCAACCCUCGUUCUAUGUUGCCAGCACGUGAUGGUGGGGACUCAUAGGAGACUGCCGGGGUCAACUCGGAGGAAGGUGGGGAUGACGUCAAGUCCUCAUGGCCCUUAUGGGUAGGGCUACACACGUCAUACAAUGGCCGGUACAGAGGGCUGCCAACCCGCGAGGGGGAGCCAAUCCCGUAAAACCGGUCGUAGUCCGGAUUGCAGUCUGCAACUCGACUGCAUGAAGUCGGAAUCGCUAGUAAUCGCGGAUCAGCAUGUCGCGGUGAAUACGUUCCCGGGUCUUGU